rfam:Picea glauca, whole genome shotgun sequence.
AUGUACAUUCCUACAACAUAGCGUUAAUGCACCGAAUCCCAUUAGAACUCUGCAGUUAAACGCACUCAGGCCCGAGUAGUACUGGGAUGGGUGACCUCCGGGGAAGUCCUAGUGUUUUACAUG